CAAACCGUUGACAUCAGUCAGUAUUGGGCCGGCUGCCCGAGCGAAAGCUCGCGCCGGCUUUAAAGUAGUACGCUUUGCCAACCGCCAUUCCAAGCCAAAAACAUAGUAAUCAUAACGCUUGUUGAGGAUGGAUGGACUUCUGGUUCGGCCUGAACAAAACCCACUCGUG
rnacentral:misc_RNA from 1 species